GAGCACUGGGAACAGAUAAAGAAAGUAAAGAACUAGCCAAGCAGAUCCAGCCAAGCAGUGCUGCAGGGAAACAGGAACCCCCCAGGAGCCAGAUGUCCAAGAACAAACUGAAAAAGGCUCUGAGUUCAGCUCGACAAACAAGCAGCCUUACUUUUGGAACCAUCUAUAGUGUCCUGUCCUCAUCUAUGGAGAAACUGAAACUGUCAAAAAGCAGGGAAGAUUCUAAGGUACUGGGGCAGAGCAAGGGUGCGGUUUGAAUGAAACAUUUUGUGAGUCAGAGAUGCUCUUCUGGUGCAUCUGAUUGUCAUAUGCUUCCCUGUUCCUAAAAUAAGAUGGCAGGUGUGAGGUCAAUAGGGUGAUCUUCUCUACUCACUAUUCACAACUACAGCUG